AGAAAUAUGUCUGACAAAAGAAUUAUCUUGAUAGGAUAAAUAAUAGGGGUUUUAAUCCCCUUAUUUCUA
rnacentral:tRNA from 1 species